CAGCAGCCACGGUAAUACGUAGGUGGCAAGCGUUGUCCGGAAUUAUUGGGCGUAAAGGGCUCGCAGGCGGUUUCUUAAGUCUGAUGUGAAAGCCCCCGGCUCAACCGGGGAGGGUCAUUGGAAACUGGGAAACUUGAGUGCAGAAGAGGAGAGUGGAAUUCCACGUGUAGCGGUGAAAUGCGUAGAGAUGUGGAGGAACACCAGUGGCGAAGGCGACUCUCUGGUCUGUAACUGACGCUGAGGAGCGAAAGCGUGGGGAGCGAACAGGAUUAGAUACCCGAGUAGUCCCUGUCUCUUAUAC
rnacentral:rRNA from 1 species